UGGGGAAUUUUGCACAAUGGCCGCAAGCCUGAUGCAGCGACGCCGCGUGAGGGAUGAAGGCCUUCGGGUUGUAAACCUUUUUCGCUCAUGGUCAAGCCGCAGCUUUGGGUUGUGGUGAGGGUAGUGGGUAAAGAAGCGCCGUCUAACUACGUGCCAGCAGCCGCGGUAAUACGUAGGGCGCGAGCGUUUUCCGGAAUUAUUGGGCGUAAAGGGCUUGUAGGCGGUAGGCCGCGUCUGCCGUGAAAUCCUCUGGCUUAACUGGGGGCGAGCGGUGGGUACGGGUUGACUUGAGUGCGGUAGGGGAGACUGGAAUUCCUGGUGUAGCGGUGGAAUGCGCAGAUAUCAGGAGGAACACCGGUGGCGAAGGCGGGUCUCUGGGCCGUUACUGACGCUGAGGAGCGAAAGCGUGGGGAGCGAACAGG
rnacentral:rRNA from 1 species